GUACCACAUUUUCUGUAUCCAUUCCUCUGUUGAAGGGGAUCUGGGUUCUUUCCAGUUUCUGGCUAUUAUAAAUAAGACUGCGAUGAACAUAGUGGAGCACGUGUCUCUUUUAUAUGUUGAGGCAUCUUUUGGGUAUAUGCCCAAGAGAGGUAUAGCUGGAUCCUCAGGCAGUUCAAUGUCCCAUUUUCUGAGGAAACUCCAGACUGAUUUCCAGAAUGGUUUUACCAGUCUGCAAUCCCACCAACAAUGGAGGAGUGUUCCUCUUUCUCCACAUCCUCGCCAGCAUCUGCUGUCACCUGAGUUUUUGAUCUUAGCCAUUCUCACUGGUGUGAGGUGAAAUCUCAGGGUUGUUUUGAUUUGCAUUUCCCUUAUGACUAAAGAUGUUGAACAUUUCUUUAGGUGUUUCUCAGCCAUUCGGCAUUCCUCA
rnacentral:lncRNA from 1 species